AUUGAACGCUGGCGGAAUGCUUUACACAUGCAAGUCGAACGGCAGCACGGACUUCGGUCUGGUGGCGAGUGGCGAACGGGUGAGUAACAUAUCGGAACGUGUCCAAUAAUGGGGGAUAACUAAUCGAAAGGUUGGCUAAUACCGCAUACGCCCUACGGGGGAAAGCAGGGGAUCUUCGGACCUUGCGUUAAUGGAGCGGCUGAUUGCUGAUUAGCUAGUUGGGGAGGUAAAGGCUCACCAAGGCGACGAUCAGUAGCUGGUCUGAGAGGACGACCAGCCACACUGGAACUGAGACACGGUCCAGACUCCUACGGGAGGCAGCAGUGGGGAAGUUUGGACAAUGGGCGCAAGCCUGAUCCAGCCAUUCCGCGUGAGUGAAGAAGGCCUUCGGGUUGUAAAGCUCUUUCGCAAGGGAAGAAAACUUACUUUCUAAUAAAGAGUGAGGUUGACGGUACCUUGAUAAGAAGCACCGGCUAACUACGUGCCAGCCGCCGCCGUAA
rnacentral:rRNA from 1 species